CUUGGUCAUUUAGAGGAAGUAAAAGUCGUAACAAGGUUUCCGUAGGUGAACCUGCGGAAGGAUCAUUAAAGAAAUUUAAUAAUUUUGAAAAUGGAUUUUUUUGUUUUGGCAAGAGCAUGAGAGCUUUUACUGGGCAAGAAGACAAGAGAUGGAGAGUCCAGCCGGGCCUGCGCUUAAGUGCGCCGUUCUUGUUAGGCUUGUAAGUUUCUUUCUUGCUAUUCCAAACGGUGAGAGAUUUCUGUGCUUUUGUUAUAGGACAAUUAAAACCGUUUCAAUACAACACACUGUGGAGUUUUCAUAUCUUUGCAACUUUUUCUUUGGGCAUUCGAGCAAUCGGGGCCCAGAGGUAACAAACACAAACAAUUUUAUCUAUUCAUUAAAUUUUUGUCAAAAACAAGAAUUUUCGUAACUGGAAAUUUUAAAAUAUUAAAAACUUUCAACAACGGAUCUCUUGGUUCUCGCAUCGAUGAAGAACGCAGCGAAAUGCGAUACGUAAUGUGAAUUGCAGAAUUCCGUGAAUCAUCGAAUCUUUGAACGCACAUUGCGCCCCUUGGUAUUCCAGGGGGCAUGCCUGUUUGAGCGUCAUUUCCUUCUCAAACAUUCUGUUUGGUAGUGGGUGAUACUCUUUGGAGUUAACUUGAAAUUGCUGGCCUUUUCAUUGGAUGUUUUUUUUCCAAAGAGAGGUUUCUCUGCGUGCUUGAGGUAUAAUGCAAGUACGGUCGUUUUAGGUUUUACCAACUGCGGCUAAUCUUUUUUUAUACUGAGCGUAUUGGAACGUUAUCGAUAAGAAGAGAGCGUCUAGGCGAACAAUGUUCUUAAAGUUUGACCUCAAAUCAGGUAGGAGUACCCGCUGAACUUAAGCAUAUCAAUAAGCGGAG
rnacentral:rRNA from 1 species